GACAGAGGGUGCAAACGUUGCUCGGAAUUACUGGGCGUAAAGCGCGUGUAGGUGGAUUGGUGUGUCAGAUGUGAAAGCCCUGGGCUCAACCCAGGAACUGCACCUGAAACUACCAGUCUUGAGUGGUGGAGAGGGAAGUGGAAUUCCUGGUGUAGAGGUGAAAUUCGUAGAUAUCAGGAGGAACACCAGUGGCGAAGGCGGCUCACUGGCCCGGUACUGACGCUGAGGUGCGAAAGCGUGGGGAGCAAACAGG
rnacentral:rRNA from 1 species